CUUUAACAUUUGUUUUCAGGUUAUUCCGGCCACAACCGGAGUAUUAAAAAGGAACCGUGUGCAAAUCACGGGCUGUCGCGCAACUGUAUGUUGUAGUGAGUGGUCACAACCUCACAUGCUGCAUAACAAGCCACUAUAUCCGCCACAAGGUAUGGGAAGGCUAUGCAGUAAUACAACAAGCCAGGAUACUUGCCUGAAAACGGAGACGAAU
rnacentral:ncRNA from 1 species